AUUGUAGCAAUACAAGGCAGACGGCUCAUUAACGCGUAGUCAACCUACCCUAUGGACGGGAAUAACCUCGGGAAACUGAGUAUAAUGCCCGAUAGAACACUAUACCUGAAAUGGUUUGUGUUUCAAAUGAUUUAUUGCCGUAGGAUGGGACUGCGGCCUAUCAGUUUGUUGGUGAGGUAAUGGCCCACCAAGACUAUUACAGGUACGGGCUCUGAGAGGAGUAGCCCGGAGAUGGGUACUGAGACACGGACCCAGGCCCUAUGGGGCGCAGCAGGCGAGAAAACUUUGCAAUGUGCGAAAGCACGACAAGGUUAAUCCGAGUGGUUUCUGCUAAAGGAACCUUUUGUUAGUCAUAGAACCACUAAUGAAUAAGGGGUGGGCAAGUUCUGGUGUCAGCCGCCGCGGUAAAACCAGCACCUCAAGUGGUCAGGAUGAUUAUUGGGCCUAAAGCAUCCGUAGCCUGCUUUGCCAGUUUUCGGUUAAAUCCAUACGCUCAACGUAUGGGCUGCCGGGAAUACUACAAAGCUAGGGAGUGGGAGAGGUAGACGGUACUCGGUAGGAAGGGGUAAAAUCCUUUGAUCUAUUGAUGACCACCUGUGGCGAAGGCGGUCUACCAGAACACGUCCGACGGUGAGGGAUGAAAGCUGGGGGAGCAAACCGGAUUAGAUACCCGGGUAGUCCCAGCUGUAAACGAUGCAAACUCGGUGAUGCGCUGGCUUGUGGCCAGUGCAGUGCCGCAGGGAAGCCGUUAAGUUUGCCGCCUGGGAAGUACGUACGCAAGUAUGAAACUUAAAGGAAUU
rnacentral:rRNA from 1 species